UUGAACGCUGGCGGCAGGCCUAACCCAUGCAAGUCGAGCGGAUGAAGGGAGCUUGCUCCUGGAUUCAGCGGCGGACGGGUGAGUAAUGCCUAGGAAUCUGCCUGGUAGUGGGGGAUAACGUCCGGAAACGGGCGCUAAUACCGCAUACGUCCUGAGGGAGAAAGUGGGGGAUCUUCGGACCUCACGCUAUCAGAUGAGCCUAGGUCGGAUUAGCUAGUUGGUGGGGUAAAGGCCUACCAAGGCGACGAUCCGUAACUGGUCUGAGAGGAUGAUCAGUCACACUGGAACUGAGACACGGUCCAGACUCCUACGGGAGGCAGCAGUGGGGAAUAUUGGACAAUGGGCGAAAGCUUGAUCCAGCCAUGCCGCGUGUGUGAAGAAGGUCUUCGGAUUGUAAAGCACUUUAAGUUGGGAGGAAGGGCAGUAAGUUAAUACCUUGCUGUUUUGACGUUACCAACAGAAUAAGCACCGGCUAACUUCGUG
rnacentral:rRNA from 1 species